rnacentral:rRNA from 1 species
UACGAAGGGGGCUAGCGUUGUUCGGAUUUACUGGGCGUAAAGCGCACGUAGGCGGAUCGAUCAGUCAGGGGUGAAAUCCCAGGGCUCAACCCUGGAACUGCCUUUGAUACUGUCGAUCUGGAGUAUGGAAGAGGUGAGUGGAAUUCCGAGUGUAGAGGUGAAAUUCGUAGAUAUUCGGAGGAACACCAGUGGCGAAGGCGGCUCACUGGUCCAUUACUGACGCUGAGGUGCGAAGGCGUGGGGAGCGAACAGG